UACGGGGGGGGCAAGCGGUUGUUCGGAAUUACUGGGCGUAAAGGGCUCGUAGGCGGCCAACUAAGUCGGAUGUGAAAUCCCCAAGCUUAACUUGGGAACUGCAUCCGAUACUGGAUGGCUUGAAUCCGGGAGAGGGAUGCAGAAUUCCAGGUGUAGCGGUGAAAUGCGUAGAUAUCUGGAGGAAUACCGGUGGCGAAGGCGGCAUCCUGGACCGGCAUUGACGCUGAGGAGCGAAAGCUAGGGGAGCAAACGGG
rnacentral:rRNA from 1 species